GUCGGUGUCUGCUAUUCGAAGCUCAAGCCCAUUACAUAUUUGAAACGAUCUUUAGAACACGACUCAGUGAAACAGGAACAACUCACAGAUAUUGGAAUUACUAGGAGGAACUCUAUUAGAACAAAGAAGUGAGGAUUACUUAACAAACUCAAUACGUUUAUAUAUCAGUAUCAGAAAAGAGGAAAGAAGAGGGAAUUACUGAAGUAAUUGAAACUACAAAUCAAAAUGGAAUAGAAAGGCUGGAAGUUCAUCUUUUCCAGUCCAGUUGGAGUGACAUCAAAGUAAUUGGUGCACUUUAGGUUGUAUUUUAGAAGAACUUUUUGUCAAAUUCUAUAAUUAAUGUGUCGAUGAUCACAGCAUGUAAUGAGUGAAGGAAAAGAGACUAAAGAAAAAACUGGCUCAAAAAGCUUCCCCACCGGAAACUUCAACACAAAAAGUGAGUUUACAGAAGGGUGCCUCUUCAAAAGUCUUUUUAAAACGCCCCACCAACGCAAGAAAUUGGAAUCAAUCAAAAUGAAAAGUUUAAAACCCAUUGGCUUAAGAUCAGCAACUGUUGGAUUCAUGUAAAAUUAGCAUGUUACAUCAUCGAUUCUAAUUUUAAUUGUGGCUUUGGCGUUAAUAAGAAUGUAAUCUGGGACGAAAAAUAAAAUAAAUGAACGUCAUUUCAUCCCUUAGUAACUUAGUAACAACUUUUAUACGUUUGUUUAUUGUAUUUUUCAGUUUCAGAUGAAAUUCUUAAUAGCGUCAAAGUCACAGUUGAUGAUUGAAAUGUAUUUUUUGACAUUUUUAAAUUAAAUAUAAAAGUUUUCAAUUA